ACGCGCUGUUACCGAUAGCAGUUUUCAGGAAAGUAAAAUGUUUAUUUAAAACAGUGCGUUUAAGGCGAUAAUGCAACUUGCAGUUGGUAGCUUUAAUUUCUGUAUUCGGAAUAGUUGCAGACAUGUUUUUUCGUGAUUUAUUCGCUCGACUGCGCCCGCACAAUGAAAUUUGCCAAUGGGCGAAUGGAUAAUGUCGGAGCAACCCGAGGCCAUGAUAGCUGUACUUCUCAAGGACACAAUAGAUAAGUAUUAAAGAAAUCGCAGUUAAGGAGGUAGUGGUGUUCGGUGCCAACCUGACCCGAAUUACAUAGCCUGCAGAGUCUAUCUUCAAAUGGGGUUCCGUCGUAUCGGCCUGUCUCGACUGGAAACCAGUGGUUAGCAGUCCUGAAUUGGAAUAGGGAAGGUGCUGGUGGAUGCUUGAUGGAAGACUGAUUGCAGCUCAUCAGUUAUGUGCUCUAUGGUCUGCUGCGAUUUGGGGUUGGAUGAGGGUUCUGUCCCCCCACUGGCCUAAUGGUUAUGGUUGCUGUCUGCUGUGGUCCUACUAUGGUUAUUGGACUGUGGAGUGUCCCUAGAGGGCACACGGUUAUCAGUACGCGCAGAAUCCCAGGGGCGUUGGAUGCUGGGCACAGAUGACUGGGUGUUCAGUGGAGUUCUGGGAGAUACUGGAGGAUGAUUACGAGCAUGAGCUUUUGAAGAAUUAGGAGAAGCAGACUGCGAGCGUCUUGAUACGUGUUCGGAAUUGGGAGUUGGAGUAUUGGGAGUGAUGACCACAGUUGUUUUCCUCUGGUUAGCAGAGGUUGUGAUAGGCUCUGGCGGGAUAUUGUUCCUGGCGCUUUGGGGAGGAGGGACACUGUGUGCCUGAUUCGACCGUGGUACUUCGGGGAUCGUGGCAGUUGGAGUAAUGGGAGCGGUGGGCUCGCUGGAUUAUUGGACGGUGCGUUAUCUGGAGCUGUUCGUCAAGAAAUUGACCUAUGACAUCAAAACAGUUUUCAUUUCUUUGUUCACAUAUUCCACCAAAUAUGAGGUUAUUUCUUCGGCUCCUUGCCUCGAUGUCAAUGGAUUUGUACUCAAGCAGUUUUAAGCGCUGGUCGUGUUCGGAUAGUGAGCCUUCUAUUGAUGUCAAUUUUGUAUGCAUCUUUAAACAUUCAUCAACCUUGUGAUCGAAAUUCUUCAUUUGUUUAAAUAUUUCUGUCACUUUUCCAUCAAGAGAUAAUUGCUCAAAGUCA